UACGUAGGGGUGCAAGCGUUGUCCGGAAUUAUUGGGCGUAAAGAGCUCGUAGGCGGUCUGUUGCGUCGGCUGUGAAAACCCGGGGCUUCAACCUGGGAAUGGCAUUUGGGACUGCAAGGCUGGAGUGCGGCAGAAGAGACUGGAAUUCCUGGUGUAGCAGUAGAAAUGCGUAGAUAUCAGGAGGAAUACCGAUGGCGAAGGCAGGUCUCUGGGCUGACACUGACGCUCAUGCACGGAAAGCGUGGGGAGCAAACAGG
rnacentral:rRNA from 1 species